ACCCAAGGCCACAGAGCUGAGAGGUGAUGAUUGAAACAGGAGCCGAGAGUCCAGGUCUCCCAAUUCCCAGACCAGAGCUCCUCCCACCUCACCAAGCUCAGCCUCACUAGCUGCACGCACGGCAUUCCAUGUGGGUCCUACAGCCUGUGCCCACUCAGUGACACAGGACCCCCAAGGAACCUGGGGCACACCUGAGAUGGCAAAAUGCUGCCCAGGGGACCCAGGUCGAGCCUCGUGGAAGUGGUGGGGGCACCACUGCAUGCACCCUUCAGGAUCUGGCACCAUGGCCACUCCGUUUGAAGACUGUGCUCCAGGUAGCGUGUGUCCCCAGCAGAUUCCAUGUACAGUGUCAGAUCUGCGUUCCAGGCACAUCCCUGCUUUGGAAAUGACCCGGCAAACUCAGUUAGUUACACGAGGCAGCCAAGUUGCACAAAGCCAUCAGCGGCUCUUCCCCAGCACAGACUGCAAGCCUGCAGCCAACGAGACGCAGUCACUGCUCCCCAGCCUCUGAGCAAUUGCUUUCGUUCCAGAUUUUUCACAGAGCCUGGAGUCCAAACUCAAAGCAAUAGUCAUCUAAAAGAACCGCCUCUGGGGAUAAACACAAGGCAUCAGCAGAAUGCAAGAAAAAUCCAAGUGCAUUUUUCUGGGCCAAGCAGAGCUCAGAACAUUGCAGCCGCGAGGACUUGCGGGGUCAGCCAGGGUGACCACUCAUUGUUCAAAUGAGGUGGGUGUCAAGAGAGCUGAGCCCCUGGCCCAGGUCACAGGGCAGGUUGUGCCCUGGGAUACAAAACCAGGCCUCGUGGCGGAGAGCCCAGAGCUCUUCUUUGGGAAUGUAAGGAAUCAUCUCUGAGCGCUGUUUUACUGUGGCUCUAAAAAGGGGUGUUAGGAGCUGUCCCGCUCAUAAAGUGGGCCUCACCGGGGGCCCAGACAGGCAGGAGUAACAGGUCAUUCCCACGCUCCGUGCCCGGCUGUGGGCCUGGCUCCAGACAACCUUCAGAGACCGUGUCUUUGAGGCGAGGCUGGGCUCUGAGUCAGCCUUCCGUCAGGGGCUGGGAUAACUGCAUCUGCUCCCCAGGGCAGCGGGCUGGGCCGGGAAGGCGCAGUCAAGGGCCCGCGUCCUUCUGACGGCCGUUUGAGCCCUUGGGUCCCCACCCCUGCAGAGGGGGCUUCUACCUGCUCAUGCAGGCCCCCCCACCCAGGGAGAGGGGCUUCCGAGGCCCCGGGGCCCUGGCGGUGCCGGCUCUCUUGUAGCCCCCCCGCCCCCCGGACCUGAGACACCUGCUCUGCAAUCAGGACUCACUGGUCCCGACCCCGGCUCCACCCUUUCCAGCAGAGGAGGCACUGGGCCCCAGCCUGCAGUCCGCCUGCCUGGGAAACGGCACGGGUUUGCUGUGAGCGGCUGGCAUACAUCUCCCAGACCCACACCAGUCCCUGGCCCAAACCGGAGGCAGCGCUGCCUCUGGAAGGAGCGGAACCACAGAGGAACCCGGCUGCUCUGGACACCCCCAUGGGUGCUUGUGCUGUAUGCGGGCCGCUCAGCACAGCCCUUCCAGGCCCAGAGCCGGCGAGGGCAGCGUCCUGGCCUUAGCGAGAGCUACUCCCUGAGGGCUGAGCCAACUCUGGGGAGGGACGUGCUGCCCUGUUCCCAGCCAGCGGGCAGGCUGCCCCUU